UUCCGUAGGUGAACCUGCGGAAGGAUCAUUACCUUUCAAUGCAGAAGUCUUGGGUAGGCGGUGCACCUUUAGCACGCUCUCUCAAUUCUUCCUGUAUUACACCCUUGUCUCUUAAAAACCUUCGUUUCCUCGGUAGGCUUGCCUGCCGGCUGGAUUCAACUAUAACCUUUUUAAUUUUCAAUCAGCGUCUGAAUAAAAUUAAUAAUUACAACUUUCAACAACGGAUCUCUUGGUUCUGGCAUCGAUGAAGAACGCAGCGAAAUGCGAUAAGUAGUGUGAAUUGCAGAAUUCAGUGAAUCAUCGAAUCUUUGAACGCACAUUGCGCCCCUUGGUAUUCCAUGGGGCAUGCCUGUUCGAGCGUCAUUUGUACCUUCAAGCUUUGCUUGGUGUUGGGUGUUUGUCCAUAUCCCCUGGGAUAGGACUCGCCUCAAAGUAAUUGGCAGCCAGUGUUUUGGUUUGAAGCGCAGCACAAAUCGCGAGUCAAGCCCGAAUAGUGGUGUCCAUUAAGUUAUUU
rnacentral:rRNA from 1 species